CUUAACUUCUUCGGAAAAGGAAAUAAUAUGAACAAUAAUUUUUGACUGUAGCCUAUGAUUUCCGAAAUUUCAGGGACUCAGAGGGCUUUUGUUUUCUCGAGUGAAAAUCGUUUUAGAUGCAUAUUUUUUUAUAUUUUCUCAAUGGUCCAAUUCCUCUCCAUUAACAGUAAAGGCGAGGGGUAUAUGUAGAGAAAAAAAUUGGGCAGAAUGGGGAGGGGAUCAGAUAAAGAUUAGGGGUCAAUUGAAAUUUUGAUUUUGAAAUUCCUCUCAAGGAUAAGAAUACGCUAAAAAUAAUUCCCAAUUUUCAACAAAUUGAAAUGGAUUAGAUCAAGGUGAACAACUUGAUUUGAUCCAACAUCCUCGAACUUCUGUGUGUCACAACAAAUCCGUAGGUGUACGUUGUGAAUUGCGUAUUGUUGUCGGAGUCGCCGAAGGAAGACAACAAAGCUUACUGUUGGG
rnacentral:lncRNA from 1 species